GGUUAAGCGACUAAGCGUACACGGUGGAUGCCCUGGCAGUCAGAGGCGAUGAAGGACGUGCUAAUCUGCGAUAAGCGUCGGUAAGGUGAUAUGAACCGUUAUAACCGGCGAUUUCCGAAUGGGGAAACCCAGUGUGAUUCGUCACACUAUCAUUAACUGAAUCCAUAGGUUAAUGAGGCGAACCGGGGGAACUGAAACAUCUAAGUACCCCGAGGAAAAGAAAUCAACCGAGAUUCCCCCAGUAGCGGCGAGCGAACGGGGAGCAGCCCAGAGCCUGAAUCAGUGUGUGUGUUAGUGGAAGCGUCUGGAAAGGCGCGCGAUACAGGGUGACAGCCCCGUACACAAAAAUGCACAUGCUGUGAGCUCGAUGAGUAGGGCGGGACACGUGGUAUCCUGUCUGAAUAUGGGGGGACCAUCCUCCAAGGCUAAAUACUCCUGACUGACCGAUAGUGAACCAGUACCGUGAGGGAAAGGCGAAAAGAACCCCGGCGAGGGGAGUGAAAAAGAACCUGAAACCGUGUACGUACAAGCAGUGGGAGCACGCUUAGGCGUGUGACUGCGUACCUUUUGUAUAAUGGGUCAGCGACUUAUAUUCUGUAGCAAGGUUAACCGAAUAGGGGAGCCGAAGGGAAACCGAGUCUUAACUGGGCGUUAAGUUGCAGGGUAUAGACCCGAAACCCGGUGAUCUAGCCAUGGGCAGGUUGAAGGUUGGGUAACACUAACUGGAGGACCGAACCGACUAAUGUUGAAAAAUUAGCGGAUGACUUGUGGCUGGGGGUGAAAGGCCAAUCAAACCGGGAGAUAGCUGGUUCUCCCCGAAAGCUAUUUAGGUAGCGCCUCGUGAAUUCAUCUCCGGGGGUAGAGCACUGUUUCGGCAAGGGGGUCAUCCCGACUUACCAAUCCGAUGCAAACUGCGAAUACCGGAGAAUGUUAUCACGGGAGACACACGGCGGGUGCUAACGUCCGUCGUGAAGAGGGAAACAACCCAGACCGCCAGCUAAGGUCCCAAAGUCAUGGUUAAGUGGGAAACGAUGUGGGAAGGCCCAGACAGCCAGGAUGUUGGCUUAGAAGCAGCCAUCAUUUAAAGAAAGCGUAAUAGCUCACUGGUCGAGUCGGCCUGCGCGGAAGAUGUAACGGGGCUAAACCAUGCACCGAAGCUGCGGCAGCGACGCUGAUGCGUUGUUGGGUAGGGGAGCGUUCUGUAAGCCUGUGAAGGUGUGCUGUGAGGCAUGCUGGAGGUAUCAGAAGUGCGAAUGCUGACAUAAGUAACGAUAAAGCGGGUGAAAAGCCCGCUCGCCGGAAGACCAAGGGUUCCUGUCCAACGUUAAUCGGGGCAGGGUGAGUCGACCCCUAAGGCGAGGCCGAAAGGCGUAGUCGAUGGGAAACAGGUUAAUAUUCCUGUACUUGGUGUUACUGCGAAGGGGGGACGGAGAAGGCUAUGUUGGCCGGGCGACGGUUGUCCCGGUUUAAGCGUGUAGGCUGGUUUUCCAGGCAAAUCCGGAAAAUCAAGGCUGAGGCGUGAUGACGAGGCACUACGGUGCUGAAGCAACAAAUGCCCUGCUUCCAGGAAAAGCCUCUAAGCAUCAGGUAACAUCAAAUCGUACCCCAAACCGACACAGGUGGUCAGGUAGAGAAUACCAAGGCGCUUGAGAGAACUCGGGUGAAGGAACUAGGCAAAAUGGUGCCGUAACUUCGGGAGAAGGCACGCUGAUAUGUAGGUGAAGCGACUUGCUCGUGGAGCUGAAAUCAGUCGAAGAUGCCAGCUGGCUGCAACUGUUUAUUAAAAACACAGCACUGUGCAAACACGAAAGUGGACGUAUACGGUGUGACGCCUGCCCGGUGCCGGAAGGUUAAUUGAUGGGGUUAAGCGCAAGCGAAGCUCUUGAUCGAAGCCCCGGUAAACGGCGGCCGUAACUAUAACGGUCCUAAGGUAGCGAAAUUCCUUGUCGGGUAAGUUCCGACCUGCACGAAUGGCGUAAUGAUGGCCAGGCUGUCUCCACCCGAGACUCAGUGAAAUUGAACUCGCUGUGAAGAUGCAGUGUACCCGCGGCAAGACGGAAAGACCCCGUGAACCUUUACUAUAGCUUGACACUGAACAUUGAGCCUUGAUGUGUAGGAUAGGUGGGAGGCUUUGAAGUGUGGACGCCAGUCUGCAUGGAGCCGACCUUGAAAUACCACCCUUUAAUGUUUGAUGUUCUAACGUGGACCCGUAAUCCGGGUUGCGGACAGUGUCUGGUGGGUAGUUUGACUGGGGCGGUCUCCUCCUAAAGAGUAACGGAGGAGCACGAAGGUUGGCUAAUCCUGGUCGGACAUCAGGAGGUUAGUGCAAUGGCAUAAGCCAGCUUGACUGCGAGCGUGACGGCGCGAGCAGGUGCGAAAGCAGGUCAUAGUGAUCCGGUGGUUCUGAAUGGAAGGGCCAUCGCUCAACGGAUAAAAGGUACUCCGGGGAUAACAGGCUGAUACCGCCCAAGAGUUCAUAUCGACGGCGGUGUUUGGCACCUCGAUGUCGGCUCAUCACAUCCUGGGGCUGAAGUAGGUCCCAAGGGUAUGGCUGUUCGCCAUUUAAAGUGGUACGCGAGCUGGGUUUAGAACGUCGUGAGACAGUUCGGUCCCUAUCUGCCGUGGGCGCUGGAGAACUGAGGGGGGCUGCUCCUAGUACGAGAGGACCGGAGUGGACGCAUCACUGGUGUUCGGGUUGUCAUGCCAAUGGCACUGCCCGGUAGCUAAAUGCGGAAGAGAUAAGUGCUGAAAGCAUCUAAGCACGAAACUUGCCCCGAGAUGAGUUCUCCCUGACUCCUUGAGAGUCCUGAAGGAACGUUGAAGACGACGACGUUGAUAGGCCGGGUGUGUAAGCGCAGCGAUGCGUUGAGCUAACCGGUACUAAUGAACCGUGAGGCUUAACCUUAC
rnacentral:rRNA from 1 species